rfam:Schistosoma haematobium scaffold465_12, whole genome shotgun sequence.
AUCGAGCUGACGAGUCCCAAAUGAGGCGAAACGCGCGUCUUGGGU